ACGAUUUGCCCAGCUUUCUAAGGAGGCGGAACUGGACAGAGCUCCUGGACCAGGCAAAUAGGAGCAAAGUUUUCGAGGCAUUUAUGGAGACGCCCCAGCCACAGAGCCCACAGACGAUCAGAGACACUGGACUCACACCACGGAGGGUCAGAACUCUUCUGCUGUGAAUCCUACCCAAAGAACAGAAGAGGAAGGGAAAACCUGAAGCGUGGGCCUAGAGAACGGCUUCGUGGCUAAGAAGAGUAUGCACUGCUCUUCUAGGGGACUUGAGGUUUAUUUCCAGCAACAACAUCAAGCUUCUCCCUGCUGUUUGUAACUCCUUUCUGAAUCCUCUCAACUCACAGAUACAUGUACAAACCCGCACAGGUCAUGAACACUAUUAAAAUUAAACAUACUUUUGUU
rnacentral:lncRNA from 1 species